rnacentral:rRNA from 1 species
GGUCAGAGGUGGAAGCGUGGCGACAUGUGGAGCUGACUGAUACUAAUCGAUCGAGGACUUAACCACA